rnacentral:rRNA from 1 species
AGUGAACGCUGGCGGUAGGCCUAACACAUGCAAGUCGAACGGCAGCACAGUAAGAGCUUGCUCUUACGGGUGGCGAGUGGCGGACGGGUGAGGAAUACAUCGGAAUCUACUUUUUCGUGGGGGAUAACGUAGGGACACUUACGCUAAUACCGCAUACGACCUACGGGUGAAAGCAGGGGAUCUUCGGACCUUUCGCGAUUGAAUGAGCCGAUGUCGGAUUAGCUAGUUGGCGGGGUAAAGGCCCACCAAGGCGACGAUCCGUAGCUGGUCUGAGAGGAUGAUCAGCCACACUGGAACUGAGACACGGUCCAGACUCCUACGGGAGGCAGCAGUGGGGAAUAUUGGACAAUGGGCGCAAGCCUGAUCCAGCCAUACCGCGUGGGUGAAGAAGGCCUUCGGGUCGUAAAGCCCUUUUGUUGGGAAAGAAAAGCAGCAGGUUAAUACCCCGCUGUUCUGACGGUACCCAAAGAAUAAGCACCGGCUAACUUCGUG